rnacentral:rRNA from 1 species
GACGAACGCUGGCGGCGUGCUUAACACAUGCAAGUCGAACGGAAAGGCCUUUUCGGCGGUACUCGCGUGGCGAACGGGUGAGUAACACGUGGGUGAUCUGCCCUGCACUCUCGGAUAAGCCUGGGAAACUGGGUCUAAUACCGGAUAGGACCGCACUUUAGUGUGUGUGGUGGAAAGUUUUUUCGGUGUAGGAUGAGCCCGCGGCCUAUCAGCUUGUUGGUGGGGUAAUGGCCUACCAAGGCGGCGACGGGUAGCCGGACUGGGAGGUUGGUCGGCCACAAUGGGACUGGGAUACGGGCCAGACUCCUACGGGGGGCAGGAGUGGGGAAUAUUGCACAAUGGGCGCGAGCCUGAUGCAGCGACGCCGGGUGGGGGAUGACGGCCUUCGGGUUGGAAACUCCUUUCGCCAGGGACGAAGCGUUUUGUGACGGUACCUGGAGAAGAAGCACCGGCUAACUACGUG